rnacentral:misc_RNA from 1 species
GUCUAAGGUCUUAUGGCCAGUU